GACGAACUGUGCGAACGUUAUUCGGAAUCACUGGGCUUAAAGCGCGUGUAGGCGGGCGGGUACGUCGGCGACUGAAAGCCCCCGGCUCAACCGGGGAAGGGGUGCCGAAACGGCCGGCCUGGAGGGGCGUAGGGGGACCUGGAACUUCCGGUGGAGCGGUGAAAUGCGUUGAGAUCGGAAGGAACGCCCGUGGCGAAAGCGAGGUCCUGGACGCCAACUGACGCUGAGACGCGAAAGCCAGGGGAGCGAACGGG
rnacentral:rRNA from 1 species